CCUACGGGAGGCAGCAGUGAGGAAUAUUGGUCAAUGGGCGUAAGCCUGAACCAGCCAAGUCGCGUGAGGGAUGAAGGUUCUAUGGAUCGUAAACCUCUUUUAUAAGGGAAUAAAGUGUGGGACGUGUCCUAUUUUGUAUGUACCUUAUGAAUAAGGAUCGGCUAACUCCGUGCCAGCAGCCGCGGUAAUACGGAGGAUCCGAGCGUUAUCCGGAUUUAUUGGGUUUAAAGGGUGCGUAGGUGGCUUUUUAAGUCAGUGGUGAAAGUCUGCGGCUCAACCAUAAAAUUGCCGUUGAAACUGGGAGGAUUGAGUAUAUUUGAGGUAGGCGGAAUGCGUGGUGUAGCGGUGAAAUGCUUAGAUAUCACGCAGAACCCCGAUUGCGAAGGCAGCCUGCCAAGCCACGACUGACGCUGAUGCACGAAAGCGUGGGGAUCAAACAGGAUUAGAUACCCUUGUAGUC
rnacentral:rRNA from 1 species